CGGACGGGUGAGUAACGCGUGGAUAACCUGCCUCACACUGGGGGAUAACAGUUAGAAAUGGCUGCUAAUACCGCAUAAGCGCACAGUACCGCAUGGUACGGUGUGAAAAACCCAGGUGGUGUGAGAUGGAUCCGCGCCUGAUUAGCCAGUUGGCGGGGUAACGGCCCACCAAAGCGACGAUCAGUAGCCGACCUGAGAGGGUGACCGGCCACAUUGGGACUGAGACACGGCCCAA
rnacentral:rRNA from 1 species